rnacentral:ncRNA from 1 species
UAUAGACUUGGUCCUGGUCUUUCUAUUAGUUAUUAGCGAACUUACACAUGCAAGAAUCCCCAUACCUGUGAAAAUGCCCUCUAACCACUAUUUGGUCCCAGGAGCUGGUAUCAAGCACACUCCCAAGUAGCUCAUAACACCUUGCUAAGCCACACCCCCACGGGAAACAGCAGUGAUAAAAAUUAAGCAAUAAAUGAAAGUUUGACUAAGUUACACUAAUAAGGGCUGGUAAAUUUCGUGCCAGCCACCGCGGUCAUACGAUUAGCCCAAACUAAUAGACAAUCGGCGUAAAGUGUGUUUUAGAACCUAAUUAAAUAAUAAAGUCAAACUAUAACCAAGCUGUAAAAAGCCCCGGUUAUUGUAAGAUACCUAACGAAAGUAACUUUAAAUUCUCUGACUACACAAUAGCUAAGGCCCAAACUGGGAUUAGAUACCCCACUAUGCUUAGCCCUAAACAUAGAAAAUUAUAAACAAAAUUAUUCGCCGGAGUACUACUAGCAAAAGCUAGAAACUCAAAGGACUUGGCGGUGCCUUAUAUCCUUCUAGAGGAGCCUGUUCCAUAAUCGAUAAACCCCGAUAAACCCAACCAACCUUUGCUAAAUCAGCCUAUAUACCGCCAUCUUCAGCAAACCCUAAAAAGGAAGCACAGUAAGCACAAAUAUUAACAUAAAUACGUUAGGUCAAGGUGUAGCCUAUAGGUUGGAGAGAAAUGGGCUACAUUUCCCGAAUCAGGGAUAUAUUACGAAAACUUAUGUGAAAUCAUAAGUUAAAGGUGGAUUUAGCAGUAAAUUAAGAAUAGAGAGCUUAAUUGAAUAAGGCCAUGAGGCACGCACACACCGCCCGUCACCCUCCUCAAGCAAUAAGUAUAAAGUAAUUCAUAAAACCUUAAACACCAUUUGCAAGAAGAGAUAAGUCGUAACAAGGUAAGUGUACUGGAAAGUGCACUUGGAUAACA